UUUACCUUCAGGAAAAAUGCCAUCCUGUCUUGGAGGUGUUUAACAGAUAGCAUUGCUUCCCUGUGAUCUCUAACCCACCACAAUUGAAAUGACAAGCGUUGAAAUGGGGGCCUCACGGUGGCGCCCUCUGCCUUUGCCGGCCCUUUCUGCAGCACGGAACGGUUCACGCCGCAGAGCACCGGUUCUCAAACUUGAAUAAUGCCUGGACACCCUUGGGAAGGAUAGAAUCAUCUUCAGAAACCCCACAACACGUCAGUGGAGUCCACUUUGAGAAAUGCUGACCUAAAAAUUAGAAUCUUAUUCUAUUAAAAUGGCUUACAUUUGAGAAUUAUCACUGCAAAGAAAAGUUCCGUCUUUAGAACUGCUAAAAGGUUGAGUUUUUACAUCUUUACUCUGCUAUUGAAACAAAACUAUUAAAAUUAUCUUAAAUAUCCUGAAAGUCUCAGACUCCUGAAAACGUGUCCACAGAUCCCUGCUUGAAAAACCUGCCGGAGUACCUGCUUUUCCUUGCAUUUGUUGGCAGAAGAUGAGCGUUUGACCUUUUACAAACUGCUCUGUAAAUAUCAUCAUUGCUUAGUUUGUGAAAGACUAAUGUGUUUCCACUAACAAAACUGUCUUUCCAGGGUUGCUGCUUUCUAGAAUAAUGCUUGUUUUCCUACUGGGUUUUCUGUUGCUGGUGUUUUUUUUAAAGGCAACCAAAUUUGUCUAAGGGAUUGCACUUUAAGGCAAUCCAGGGACUUUUAAUGAAGAACUGAUGAGAAAGCCAAAGUCUCUGGUUGAAAAAAAAAAAAAUGUGACAAAGUAGCAGAUCUCAAAAAUAUUAACCAAGUAGAUUCUCUAAUAUUUGAUACUUUAAACGCAAACUGUUUUCUAAACAAUGUUUGUAAGCAAAUGUUAAAAGUAUUUUUUUCCGGGAUUACUGCUUCUAUAUUAAACAGAUAGUAUGAACAAACGAUAGAGUUGGCUUUUCUAUCCUCACAGCAAUCAGUAAGUGUGGACUUUUUUUUUCUUAAGAAGAAACACCAAAAUAAAUGAUUCCUCUAAAGGAUCUAGUAUUCCAAAAAGGGUGAAUAAAGAAAGUUUAGAACAUUGAUAUUUCCAUAACAUAACUAAUAUGUUAUUGUUUGUAACAGAGGAAGGAAAUAAACCAGUUGACA
rnacentral:lncRNA from 1 species